rnacentral:rRNA from 1 species
ACUGACGAUCCGUGGCGGUAGUUUCAAACCUUUCCCACCGGGCAGUCUCGGGAGGGCUUUAGGUCUUUUGGGUUCGGGGGAGGUAUGGUUGCAAAGCUGAGAGUUAAAGGAGUUGACGGAGGGGCACCACCAGGAGUGGAGCCUGCGGCUUAAUUUGACUCAACACGGGAAAACUCACCCGGGCCGGACACUGUGAGGAGUGACAGAUUGAUAGCUCUUUCUUGAUUUGGUGGUUGGUGGUGCAUGGCCGUUCUUAGUUGGUGGAGCGAUUUGUCUGGUUAAUUCCGAUAACGAACGAGACUCCAGCCUGCUAAUUAGUGCAUUUGUCCACUGCACCAGCCGAGCGGCGCAGUGUCAACUGCUCUGGCUCAGUGCAGGAACCGGCGCGUUUGUGCAUCCUGCGUGGUCGCACUGCCUCGUGUGGUGUGGCUGUGUGGGGCUAUGCGCGGCGUGUUAGGCCUGCAUGUUGUGCCUGGGGCGGAUGGCACCACGUUAGCUAGCAGGUGCGGCGCGAAUGCUUACUUCUUAGAGGGACACGCGGGAGAAGCCGCACGAAAUAGAGCAAUAACAGGUCUGUGAUGCCCUUAGAUGUCCGGGGCCGCACGCGCGCUACAAUGGCGGUGUCAACGAGUCAGACCUUCUGGCCUGAAAAGGUUGGGCAAACUGGUCAAUCACCGUCAUGACAGGGAUCGGGGCUUGGAAUUGUUCCCCGUGAACGAGGAAUUCCUAGUAAGUGCAAGUCAUAAGCUUGCGCUGAUUACGUCCCUGCCCUUUGUACACACCGCCCGUCGCUACUACCGAUUGAAUGGUUUAGUAAGGUCCUUGGAUUGGUGCCAUUUAGGUUCCGCCGAAAGGUGCGUAUCUAGCCGGCGCCCAGAAGACAACCAACUUGAUCUUUAGAGAAUAAAUUGCUACAGCACUACCACCACGGGAUCGUCAGUUGGCAUCGUUUAGGCAAAAAAAGGGGAAGAAAAAAAACAAACAAAAAGGAGGGGGAA